rnacentral:rRNA from 1 species
UACAGAGGGUGCAAGCGUUGUUCGGAAUCAUUGGGCGUAAAGCGCACGUAGGCGGCUUUGCAAGUCGGGUGUGAAAGCCUGGGGCUCAACCCCAGAAGUGCAUUCGAAACUGCAGAGCUUGAGUCUUGGAGAGGGCAGUGGAAUUCCGAGUGUAGAGGUGAAAUUCGUAGAUAUUCGGAGGAACACCAGUGGCGAAGGCGACUGCCUGGACAAAGACUGACGCUGAGGUGCGAAAGCGUGGGGAGCAAACGGG